ACUCACAUCGCUUGGACAAAGGUUUUUUCGUGGCUCCAUUGUUUUACUUUUGAACUGGACCAUAAAACUUAUAUGGCAUGAGGUUGCGUGCAAUGGAUACAUCUUGUGUCCUUUAUUGGACGAACUUACUAUGGUAAAUGCCUUCCCGCUUUGAUAUUGCAGUGCAAGGUAGGCUGCAAGGACACGGGAAGACACCAGGAAUAUGAAAAAUGAAUGUAUAUUUCAUAGCCUCAUAGGCUUGUGCAUUACGGUAGAAUCUCAAACAGGAAAGCUACACGACGUAGGGUCCAGCAGUACGACUGGCGUACCUAUAAUUCAAAAGCAGUCUUGUCGAAAUGUUCACAUCGUCUUUCAUAAACGCCAGACUUGACUGUAUUGUUCAGCGUGUCAGCAGUAAGCAGACGGAAUUUUAGUGGUCAACUCCUGAUGAAAGAAGACGACAACAAUGAUGAUACAUGAAACCCAAAGAUGCAUGCUCACCACAUUAAAGACUCGACAAGAAGAAGAAGAAGAAGAAGAAGAAGAAGAAGAAGAAGAAGAAGAAGAAAUUACUGUAUUUGACGCAGCCCAAUUUUGCAUGAUGAAAAAAAAAUUUGUUUAUAAGUUUACAAUCCUUAAUGCAAAAUUCUAACCACUGAAUUGUGGAGGAUAGUGUGUCAUUCAAAAGGUUGGUUCAGCAUGCCUACAGCUGAACAAAGAUGCCCCAAGUCUAGGUGACAUAGCAAGACUUGUCCGGUAAGCCACCAAAAUGUGUUAACUGUUUGCCCCAAUUAGGCUUGUUACAAACAGUAAAAAUUUGCAUUAGUAAAACAAUUGUAUUACAACAACGUCAGUAUUUAAAACAACAACAAUUUUAAUACAACUAUAGUUUUACUCACUGCAUCAAUUAUAUUGUGAAAUUAUUUUCAUAAAAUAAAAAAAAUCAACAUUGUAUUCAU